ACGCGUAGGCGGCCGCCUAAGUCAGACGUGAAAUCCCUCGGCUCAACCGGGGAACUGCGUCUGAUACUGGGUGGCUUGAAUCCGGGAGAGGGAUGCGGAAUUCCAGGUGUAGCGGUGAAAUGCGUAGAUAUCUGGAGGAACACCGGUGGCGAAGGCGGCAUCCUGGACCGGUAUUGACGCUGAGGCGCGAAAGCCAGGGGAGCAAACGG
rnacentral:rRNA from 1 species